rnacentral:rRNA from 1 species
UACGGAGGGUGCGAGCGUUGUCCGGAAUCAUUGGGCGUAAAGGGCGCGUAGGUGGCGGGACAAGCGUGCGGUGAAAGCCUGGGGCUCAACCCCGGGUCGGCCGUGCGAACUGUUUUGCUUGAGCACUGUAGAGGCAGGCGGAAUUCCGGGUGUAGCGGUGGAAUGCGUAGAGAUCCGGAAGAAUACCGGUGGUGAAGGCGGCCUUCUGGACCAUUUCUGACGCUGAGACGCGAAAGCGUGGGGAGCAAACAGG